UCCCGGUUGGCCCGGGCAGUAUCGCAUGAAAAAUACAACAUACGACAAGGGUUGCGCUCGUUGCGGGACUUAACCCAACAUCUCACGACACGAGCUGACGACGGCCAUGCAGCACCUGUCACUAGGCUCCCGAAGGCACUCCACUGUUUCCAGCGGAUUCCUAGGAUGUCAAGCCUCGGUAAGGUUCUUCGUGUAGCUUCGAAUUAAACCACAUGAUCCUCUGCUUGUGCGGGUCCCCGUCAAUUCCUUUGAGUUUUAAGCUUGCGCUCGUACUCCCCAGGCGGGAUGCUUAACGCGUUAGCUUCUCAGCCCAAGGGGUCGAUACCUCGAACUAAUAGCAUCCAUCGUUUACGGCGUGGACUAC
rnacentral:misc_RNA from 1 species